GUGGGGAAUAUUGGACAAUGGGCGAAAGCCUGAUCCAGCCAUGCCGCGUGUGUGAAGAAGGUCUUCGGAUUGUAAAGCACUUUAAGUUGGGAGGAAGGGUAGUAACCUAAUACGUUGCUACUUUGACGUUACCGACAGAAUAAGCACCGGCUAACUUCGUGCCAGCAGCCGCGGUAAUACGAAGGGUGCAAGCGUUAAUCGGAAUUACUGGGCGUAAAGCGCGCGUAGGUGGUUCAGUAAGUUGGAAGUGAAAUCCCCGGGCUCAACCUGGGAACUGCUUUCAAAACUGGCGAGCUAGAGUAGGGCAGAGGGUGGUGGAAUUUCCUGUGUAGCGGUGAAAUGCGUAGAUAUAGGAAGGAACACCAGUGGCGAAGGCGACCACCUGGGCUCAUACUGACACUGAGGUGCGAAAGCGUGGGGAGCAAACAGGAUUAGAUACCCCGGUAGUCC
rnacentral:rRNA from 1 species